rnacentral:rRNA from 2 species
GCAGCAGUGGGGAAUAUUGCACAAUGGGGGAAACCCUGAUGCAGCCAUGCCGCGUGUGUGAAGAAGGCCUUCGGGUUGUAAAGCACUUUCAGUAGGGAGGAAGGUAGUGUAGUUAACACCUGCAUUAYUUGACGUUACCUACAGAAGAAGCACCGGCUAACUCCGUGCCAGCAGCCGCGGUAAUACGGAGGGUGCGAGCGUUAAUCGGAAUUACUGGGCGUAAAGCGCAUGCAGGCGGCCUGUUAAGUCAGAUGUGAAAGCCCGGGGCUUAACCUCGGAAUUGCAUUUGAAACUGGCAGGCUAGAGUCUUGUAGAGGGGGGUAGAAUUUCAGGUGUAGCGGUGAAAUGCGUAGAGAUCUGAAGGAAUACCAGUGGCGAAGGCGGCCCCCUGGACAAAGACUGACGCUCAGAUGCGAAAGCGUGGGGAGCAAACAGGAUUAGAUACCCUGGUAGUCCACGCCGUAAACGAUGUCUACUUGGAGGUUGUGGCCUUGAGCCGUGGCUUUCGGAGCUAACGCGUUAAGUAGACCGCCUGGGGAGUACGGUCGCAAGAUUAAAACUCAAAUG